GAUGAACGCUGGCGGCGUGCCUAAUACAUGCAAGUCGAGCGAACGGACGAGAAGCUUGCUUCUCUGAUGUUAGCGGCGGACGGGUGAGUAACACGUGGAUAACCUACCUAUAAGACUGGGAUAACUUCGGGAAACCGGAGCUAAUACCGGAUAAUAUUUUGAACCGCAUGGUUCAAAAGUGAAAGACGGUCUUGCUGUCACUUAUAGAUGGAUCCGCGCUGCAUUAGCUAGUUGGUAAGGUAACGGCUUACCAAGGCAACGAUGCAUAGCCGACCUGAGAGGGUGAUCGGCCACACGGGAACGGAGACACGGUCCAGACUCCUACGGGAGGCAGCAGUAGGGAAUCUUCCGCAAUGGGCGAAAGCCUGACGGAGCAACGCCGCGUGAGUGAUGAAGGUGUUCGGAUCGUAAAACUCUGUUAUUAGGGAAGAACAUAUGUGUAAGUAACUGUGCACAUCUUGACGGUACCUAAUCAGAAAGCCACGGCUAACUACGUG
rnacentral:rRNA from 1 species